GGCAUGACUAAGCAUUGCAUUACUGUGGAAGAGGAGAGCAGAUGUUAAGGGGAUGCUCAGCCAGUUCUUUCCUUCAUGACUGAUCUCCAUGGACUAUAUCACUUGAUUCCCUCCCUCCUCUGUUUUCCACUUAUAUUCAGGGGUUGGGAAGUACCAGCAGGAAACCAGAGGGCAAGAGAACAGUGAGGAUGAUCCGAGGUGACCCCCGUAUGGAACCCUGAAGGGACAUGGGCAACAGAAAUGGAGAGAAACUCUUUCUCCCUGGCAGGAAGACUGGCAAAAAGGGGCCUCUGUCUGCCAGAAAAAGCGGGAGGAGUCCACAAUUGUUUUCUUGCUGAUUUUCUCUUGUCUUCUUUGUCCUGCCCCAAGAGAAGUCUCAGUUACAGAGUGAUACUGUAGGACAGGCACCUGAAACUCAAAGAGAAAGAACUAAGAAAAGAGGCUCUAACCUAUGGCCCAGAAGGGGUGAAGGGAAUCCCCAUUAUUUUUCCUGCUAUUUUCUAGCUGCUUUGACCUGAAGAAAGUGUCCAGCAGAAAUGUGUAACAGCAGAGCAGCCAAAGCUCCAAAAGAAAGAAAUCCUGGUUGGCUCAGCAAAGGACCGAGAACACUGGCCUUCUGAAUGUGGAGAGUCAGGAAGAAAGCUCAAAGUGAGAGAAGCAGAGAAGGGAAUUCCCCAAUUCUGCAUCUAAACUCACACCAAUCCCAGCCUCUUCCUGGGUCACAGAACAGGAACCCAAAGCAGAACAGAAAAGGCCUAUGUGUCAGAAAGGAAAAACAGAACCAUCUCUACUAACAGAUGACACAAUUCUCUACAUUUAAAAAAAUCCUAAAACUAUAUAAAAAAACAUUCCUAGAACUAAUAAGUUUAAUAAAGUCACAGGGUAUAAGAUCAAGUUAUUUCUACAUAGUAGCAAUGAACACUUAGAACACAAAAUGUUGAAGAAAAAAAAAACAGUCCCAUUUAAAAUAACACUGAAAACUGGAAAACUUAGAUGUAAAUCAAUGAAACAUGUAUAGGGUCUGUAUGCUGAAAACUACAGAGGCUGAUGAAAUAGAUCAUGAAAAACCUAAGUAAAUGGAGAGAGAUACCAUGUUCAUAGAUGGAAGACUCAAAACUGUUAAGGUAUCGGUUCUAAGUGGAUCUAAAGAUUCAACAUAAUUCUAAUCAAGAUGCCAGAGUAAUUUUUCAUAGAUAUCAACAAGUUUAUUCUAAGAUGCAUAUGGAAAAACAAAGGAAAUAGAACAGUCAAAAUAGUUUUGAAGCAGAACAAAGUUGGGGAACUCCUACAACCCAAUUUUAAUACAUACUAUAAUGCUACAGUAAGAAAGGCAAUGUGGUAUUGAGUAAAAGGUAGAUGAAAAGAUCAAUUAGAUAUAACAGAGAAUCCAGAAAUUAGAUACAAGUAUAGCCAAACAUUUUUUUUUCCUGGAAGUACUGGAUAUUGAAUCCAGGGGUGCUAUACCACUGAGCUACAUCCUAAGCCCUUUGUAAUUUUAGCUUUGAGAUAGGGUCUUACUAAAAAUUGCCCAGGCUGGCCUCAAAUGUGUGAUCUUCCUGCCUCCUCCCCAGCAGGUAUCAUUGUAGGUGUUCACUAUUGCACCUAGUUUUGCCAAAAAAACCCAAUCUUGAUGAAGGUGCAGAACCAAUUCAAUGGAAAAAAAUAAUAGUGUUUUCAACAAAUGUUACUAGAACAAUUAAAUAGUUAAAAGAAAAAUAAAACUAUUAGAGCUAAUAAAUGAAUUCAGCAAAGUGGCAGGAUAUAAAAUCAACACGCAUAAAUCAAAGGCAUUCCUAUAUAUCAGCGAAAAAUCCUCUGAAAUGGAAAUGAGGACAACCACUCCAUUCACAAUAUCCUCAAAAAAAAAAAUAAAAUACUUGGGAGUCAACCGAACAAAAGAGGUGAAAGACUUAUACAAUGAAAACUACAGAACCCUAAAGAGAGAAAUAGAAGAAGAUCUUAGAAGAUGGAAAAAUAUACCCUGUUCAUGGAUAGGCAGAACUAACAUCAUCAAAAUGGCGAUAUUACCAAAAGUUCUCUAUAGGUUUAAUGCAAUGCCAAUCAAAAUCCCAACGGCAUUUCUUGUAGAAAUAGAGAAAGCAAUUAUGAAAUUCAUAUGGAAAAACAAAAGACCCAGAAUAGCAAAAACAAUGCUAAGCAGGAAGUGUGAAUCAGGCGGUAUAGCGAUACCAGACCUCAAACUAUACUACAGAGCAAUAGUAACAAAAACAGCAUGGUACUGGUACCAAAACAGGCGGGUGGACCAAUGGUACAGAAUAGAGGACACAGAAACCAAUCCACAAAACUACAACUAUCUUAUAUUUGAUAAAGGGGCUAAAAGCAUGCAAUGGAGGAAGGAUAGCAUCUUCAACAAAUGGUGCUGGGAAAACUGGAAAUCCAUAUGCAACAAAAUGAAACUGAAUCCCUUUCUCUCGCCAUGCACAAAAAUUAACUCAAAAUGGAUCAAGGAGCUUGAUAUCAAAUCAGAGACAUGGCAUCUGAUACAAUAAAAAGUUGGCUACGAUCUACAUACUGUGGGGUCGGGCUCCAAAUUCCUCAAUAGGACACCCAUAGCACAAGAGUUAAUAACUAGAAUCAACAAAUGGGACUUACUCAAACUAAAAAGUUUUUUCUCAGCAAAAGAAACAAUAAGAGAGGUAAAUAGGGAGCCUACAUCCUGGGAACAAAUCUUUACUCCUCACACUUCAGAUAGAGCCCUAAUAUCCAGAGUAUACAAAGAACUCAAAAAAUUAGACAAUAAGAGAACAAACAACCCAAUCAACAAAUGGGCCAAGGACCUGAACAGACACUUCUCAGAGGAGGACAUACAAUCAAUCAACAAGUACAUGAAAAAAUGCUCACCAUCUCUAGCAGUCAGAGAAAUGCAAAUCAAAACCACCCUAAGAUACCAUCUCACUCCAGUAAGAUUGGCAGCCAUUAGGAAGUCAAACAACAAUAAGUGCUGGCGAGGAUGUGGGGAAAAGGGUACACUUGUACAUUGCUGGUGGGACUGCAAAUUGGUACAGCCAAUUUGGAAAGCAGUAUGGAGAUUUCUUGGAAAGCUGGGAAUGGAACCACCAUUUGACCCAGCAAUUCCCCUUCUUGGUCUAUUCCCUAAAGACCUAAAAAGAGCAUGCUACAGGGACACUGCUACAUUGAUGUUCAUAGCAGCAUAAUUCACAAUAGCAAGACUGUGGAACCAACCUAGAUGCCCUUCAAUAGACGAAUGGAUAAAAAAAAAUGUGGCAUUUAUACACAAUGGAGUAUUACUCUGCAUUUAAAAAUGACAAAAUCAUAGAAUUUGCAGGGAAAUGGAUGGCAUUAGAACAGAUUAUGCUAAGUGAAGCUAGCCAAUCCCUAAAAAACAAAUGCCAAAUGUUUUCUUUGAUAUAAGGAGAGUAACUAAGAACAGAGUUGGGAGGAAGAGCAUGAGAAGAAGAUUAACAUUAAACAGGGGUGAGAGGUGGGAGGGAAAAGGAAAGAGAAGGGAAAUUGCAUGGAAAUGGAAGGAGACCCUCAUGGUUAUACAAAAUUACAUACAAGAGGAAGUGAGGGGAAAGGGGAAAAAAAACAAGGGGGAGAAAUGAAUUACAGUAGAUGGG